rnacentral:rRNA from 1 species
GUGCCAGCCGCCGCGGUAAUACCGGCAGCCCAAGUGAUGGCCGAUCUUAUUGGGCCUAAAGCGUCCGUAGCCGGCCGGACAAGUCCGUUGGGAAAUCGACGCGCCUAACGCGUCGGCGUCCAGCGGAAACUGUCCGGCUUGGGGCCGGAGGACUCGAGGGGUACGUCCGGGGUAGGAGUGAAAUCCUGUAAUCCUGGACGGACCGCCGGUGGCGAAAGCGCCUCGGGAAGACGGACCCGACAGUGAGGGACGAAAGCCAGGGUCUCCAACCGGAUUAGAAACCCCGGUAGUCC